rnacentral:lncRNA from 1 species
AUGAUGCAUCCUCACACACUACACAAUACAUACUACACAAUACAUACUACACAAUACACAAUACAUACUACACAAUACAUACUACACAAUACACAAUACAUACUACACAAUACAUACUACAUACUACACAAUACAUACUACACACCACAUACUACACACUACAUACUACACACUACAUACUACACAAUACAUACUACACAAUACAUACUCCACAAUACAUACUACACAAUACACAAUACAUACUACACAAUACACAAUACAUACUACACAAUACAUACUACACAAUACAUACUACACACUACACGAUACAUACUCCACAAUACAUACUACACAAUACAUACUACACAAUACAUACUACAUACUACACAAUACAUACUACACACUACAUACUCCACAAUACAUACUACACAAUACAUACUACACACUACACAAUACAAACUACACAAUACAUACUACACAAUACACAAUACAUACUACACAAUACAUACUACACAAUACACAAUACACACUACACAAUACAUACUACACAAUACAUACUACACACUACACAAUACAUACUACACAAUACAUACUACACAAUACAUACUACACAAUACAUACUACACAAUACAUACUACACAAUACAUACUACACACUACACAAUACAUACUACACAAUACAUACUACACACCACAUACUACACAAUACAUACUACAUACUACACAAUACAUACUACACACUACAUACUACACAGUACAUAAUACUACACACUACACACUACAUACUACACAAUACAUACUACACACUACACAAUACAUACUACACAAUACAUACUACAUACUACACAAUACAUACUACACACCACAUACUACACAAUACAUACUACAUACUACACAAUACAUACUACACACUACAUACUACACAGUACAUAAUACUACACACUACACACUACAUACUACACAAUACAUACUACACAAUACAUACUACACAAUACAUACUACAUACUACAUACUACAUACCAGGGGAGGACGGCUCAUAAAUGGACUGGCAUCCAACCAUGUCUCCCCAGUUAUGGUGCCACCAACCUCCUGUGCUACACAUUUCAUACUACACACUACACACUACAUAUAG